rnacentral:lncRNA from 1 species
ACUCCAUUGCACAGAUGGGUGAACUAGGCUCUGCGGGAAAGAUAUCAGCUCAGGGGUAGCAGAGCUGAGAUUGUCACCUCUCUCUCAUGCCACCCCAAAAAUGAGGUUGUGCUUGCACUGUGUGAGUGUUGGUCCUAAAGCUACCUCAGAAGAUCACGUGUUUCUGUUCAUUUGAAAGGCGUUGGUCUUUCUGGCUACUUCAAUAGUAGGGAGGUGGUGGAAAGCUACUGUGGCAGAGACAUGUUCACAUGUAAUAGUGUAACACCAAAAGCACACUCAUGUCCCUCGCUGUGAAGCAGGAAAUGCAGAAGGAAGGGACGGGACUGUUGCAAGCUGGCAUGUAUACACAAAGGUAGACACAGCUGUUCAUCAAGGUUCAAGACCUGAUGCGAGGAGCGCAGGCAGCGUUGUGGAGCCACGCUAGGAGCGCGGGCAGCCCCGUGGGACCUCCUCUGCCUUGCAGAUGGAGACAAACUGUGUACAAGCAGCCUGUAAGGAAGAGCCUAGCCUUGAACUGAGCGCGAUGAACUGAGCUCAGCAGCACCUGACUCAGUUCCCCCGACGGCACACGCCGGUGAUGGUCCCAAGGACAUGCUCGUGGUCCUGUGGCCUGGACAGCAACAGUAUCUGUCCCUGUGUGUCAUGUGCCCCUCCAUCAUAUUCUCUCUUCUUGAGGCCCAGCAUCGACACUCAACUGUUCUCUGCAUUUAGACGUGUUGCGUGAGAGACAUCACUAACUGCUGCCCACGCAGAAAGAAGCUUGUGAUCUGAGAGCCACACCAGUCUACACGUAUAAAUGCAGAGAUCAUGAGCAAGGACCAGACUGGCAAGAGGCUUCGGGUGAAGCCAGCAAACAGAUGGCAAGAACAUGGGGGCCUCGGUCCACAACCCUGGAAACUGCACUCUGCUAACGACCAGAAAAACUUAGAAAUUAAUUUCCUCCAAACCUCCUGGCAGGAGCUCAGCUGGUCAACUCCGAGGUUUCAGUUCAUGAGAUCCAAAGCAGAGACCCCACUGAGCCAUGCUGCCCACCCAAGGCACAGGCCUGCGAGAUGGGUGUCGUGGGAAGUGGUCCAACACCCAGCUUAUCCUGUGGCUCCAGCAUAUGGCUCUGUAGCUUCCUCCAAAUGCUUUCCAUCUUAUUUCUCCAGCAGAAUGGACGUUGUGCUCUAUGAGAACACCCUAACACCCCCUUUGCUAGGGCCCAUGGAUCCCAGUGCCAUGUCUUCCCUCAGCCCCUGGG